GUUUCAACGAUCUGUUCGUGGACACAAUGACGCCUCUACGUUUCGCUGUUGUCUUCGUCCUCCUCUUUGGUGUAUUUGUCGCCAGUGAAGCUGCACCUGAAGGACACGAGCUUGAACGUCGUGACGAUGACUUCGGUGUCUGCACUUGUGUUCAGGGUAUUACAUGCCCUCAUAACAUCCCUUGCACAAAGUUUAGCGAGUGUAAGAAAUGCUUCGUUCUCGGUGGACGAAAACAUGGCUGACCGGCAACCCUUAACAACGAAACGAUCAAUUGCACGUAUAUGAAAUAAGAGACCCUGGUCUUCUCUUUUACUAACAUGAUCAUG